AAGGGAGGAAGGCGCUGUGACGGACCUUCGCUAAGAUGGCCUCCGGCCGAAGUCAGCUGAGCGGGCGGCCCUAAGAUGGCUGCGCCCACGUCUCCUCCACCACCAUGGCUGCCGCCGGCUGUACGGCACGCAAGAUGGCGGCUCCCGGAGGAGGUAUGGCAAGAUGGAGGCUGCCUCAGCUAGCAGGCCCAGCAGCACCUGGAUUUGCCAGUGUCCCUCGCGAGGCUGCGACUCUCCAACACUGCAGCCAUGUUCUUCAUCUCCAAAACCCAUCAGUGCCCUGGAAAUCGGGUGCCGCUUCUGUGGGGCACGCAGACUGUGUGCUUCACAUUUCUCUAGGGACAGUCGCACACCAGGUGCUGUGGCCAGGAGGUCUUUUUUUUCUUUUUCUCUGAAACUACUAGGCAAUUAGAGAAGACCAUGACCCAAAGCCAUAUAUCACUAAAAUGAAGCCUUUGCUUUCCAGCACUGCCAAGCCGGCAUGUGUCAUGAGUGUAAAGUGUAAUUUAAACAUAAUGAAAUUAAAAAAUUCCUUUGCACAGAUGAUGUUAAAAUAACUUUUUUAAAUAAAAAAAGUUAAUACUU